AACGCACAUUGCGCCCCUUGGUAUUCCGGGGGGCAUGCCUGUUCGAGCGUCAUUUCAACCCUCAAGCUCUGCUUGGUAUUGGGCUCCGUCCUCAGGGACGCGCCUCAAAGACCUCGGCGGUGGCGUCUUGCCUCAAGCGUAGUAGAAAACACCUCGCUUUGGAGUGCAUGGCGUCGCCCGCCGGACGAACCUUUGAAUUUUUCUCAAGGUUGACCUCGGAUCAGGUAGGGAUACCCGCUGAACUUAA
rnacentral:misc_RNA from 2 species